rnacentral:lncRNA from 1 species
UGUGCGCGUGCGCAGGUGCGCACAGUGGCUGCGGGACGUGCGCACACCACGCACGUCCCAUACACUUGCACACACAUAAGGGACGUGCGCACAACGUGCACAUCCCCUCCAUACGCAUGCACGGGACAUUUGCACAAUGCACACAUCCCGUCCACGCGCAGAGUGCAGGGUCAGGACCUGCACACGUUCUGUCGCCCACAGGCAGGUUGUCCGCGCAUCACCUCAUGUACGGACGGGCACCACACACUGUGCACGCACUGUCCGUGUAGCAGACCUGCAUGGAUAGGCCCUGUGUUCUUGGGGUUUGUGCGUAGUUGGUCUGCACGCGCUGCGCCCAAGCCCUAUGGCAUAGUAGGAGGCCUGUGCGCUUGCGGGCUAGCCUCAAGCGUGCCAGUUGGAGCACUGCUACCUCAGGCGGUGUACUGGCACUACCUUGGGUGACACGCCACCGUUGCUGGUGGAGAAGGCCCUCCUCCCUCAUUUUUCAUGAAAAACAUCAUUUUCUCAUCUCUCUUCACUGGACUUUGCCACUUGGUGCCAAUCUGAUGGUUCCAAAAUUUUAUAAAUUGCU